UAAUGAGUAAGUGGAUUUGUUGCUGGAUAUAAAGAGACGUGACCUACAGACAUUCACAACCUGUGGAUCUCACACUGAUCUAUUGCCACAUUUUGAUAACAGCUUAUUUACUUGUUUCUGAGGAGAAAAUGAAGUGCAUCACUGUCUUUCUUGUGCUGUCGCUGGUCAUUCUCAUGGCUGAACCCGGGGAGUGUUUUUUCCAUCACAUUAUUGGAGGACUUUUUAGCAUCGGGCAUCACAUCCAUAGACUUAUUAGCGGAGCGCGUCAAGAAGCGAUGAUGGAGCAGCAGGAGCUGGAACGUACUUUCGACCGAGAGCAAGCUUUUAACUGAGUCUAUGCUGAGACAUCUUAAAGAGCUACCUUGUCUAAAGAGAAAUGCUUCUUCCUCUUUAUCAUGACAUUUCAAUAAAUAUGCAACAUUUA